ensembl:ncRNA F46F3.13 ncRNA
CAUCGUAUUAAUUUCUACAACAGAAUUUCAUGACCUGACUUGGCCCGCGCAUCAAUCAAUACAUAUCCGACGCGUUCAGUCCUAUAUCGUCUGUUAUAAAAUUAGUCUUCUCAUUGUUGGGGGAGACAAUAUAUCUCAUCCACUUAAUUU